AGUCGUUGAUUGAAGAUGGAGAAAGACUACAGUUGCUUAUCAAAAAGUGAGCCCAGAAGAAUAACAGACUGAUGCAAGUAAAAGAGACCCUGAGAAGAGCACAGUGAUUGAGCAAUCUGCUUAGCUCAGCCCAGGAGCAAGAAAGCCUGAUUAAAGCUAGCAAAAUUGAAAUGCCAGUCCAGAGGGAAAAAUGUCCUCUGGGAUGAAGAAGCCAAUAGCCAGUCCUACUGCAUAAUGGAGCUUCAAAUAGUAAAGUUUAUGUCCACGUGCAGUCUGCCAGAGCAGCGCCUUUGCCUACCCCCAGCCAAGAACUUGAGGAAAGAGGUCCUGGGUCUCAUUGAUCCCUUUACCACCUCCCCACCAGGAACUGCUCUUUCUGGGUUAAAUUCCUCAAGAAGAUACUGGAUAACUAGGAAUGGUGUAGGAAGUAUGUGGGACUCAAGGAAAGGGAAGAACUAGACGGGAUCUCCAAGGUCCUUUCCAUCUCUGUGACUAUGAAAGAAGAAUGUAAGAAGGUGGAAGAAUCUUCAUUGGCUCAAUUCUAGUCUAUUUCAACAGCCUCUUAAUGAGUCCUUGUAUCUUGGAUCUAACCCCAUUUCAAUCUAUCCUUCACUUCUCUCCCCAAAUGAUAUUCCAAACAAGAUCUGACCAUUUUAUCCUAUCCUAACUAAAUAAAUUCUAGUGGGUACCCAUUACAUCUAGGAUUAAAUAUAAACUCUCUUGUUUGGUACUUAGAACUUUUUAACAACAUGGCCAAUCUAAGACUGCUCCCAGAUUUAUUAUACAUUAUCCUCCUCAUACCGUAUGGUCCAAUUAUAUCAACCUUCUUGUUCUUCACACUUUACAUUCCAUCUCAGAUUUCCAAGCCUUUGCACUGGCAAGAGUCAGUUCAAAAUAGUACCUUCUAGAGAACAUCUUUCUUGGAUCCUCUCUCCUCCAACUGCUAGUGCCUUACCUCUCCCCCAAGAUUUUCUUUGUGUGUGUUUUCUGCUUAUCCUUUUAUGUGCUGGUUCUCUCUCUCAUAGAAUUCCUCUCUUGUAGUUCCUUGAGGCUAGGGACUAUUUGACUUUGUCCCUGUACUUACCUUAUUAAAAAAACAAAAAAAAAAGCUUAACUGUUGUCUUACCCACAAU